rnacentral:rRNA from 1 species
AAAGCGGAGGAAAAGAAACCAACAGGGAUUGCCUUAGUAGCGGCGAGUGAAGCGGCAAAAGCUCAAAUUUGAAAUCUGGCACUUUCAGUGUCCGAGUUGUAAUUUGAAGAAGGUAUCUUUGGGUCUGGCUCUUGUCUAUGUUUCUUGGAACAGAACGUCACAGAGGGUGAGAAUCCCGUGCGAUGAGAUGUCCCAGACCUAUGUAAAGUUCCUUCGAAGAGUCGAGUUGUUUGGGAAUGCAGCUCUAAGUGGGUGGUAAAUUCCAUCUAAAGCUAAAUAUUGGCGAGAGACCGAUAGCGAACAAGUACAGUGAUGGAAAGAUGAAAAGAACUUUGAAAAGAGAGUGAAAAAGUACGUGAAAUUGUUGAAAGGGAAGGGCUUGAGAUCAGACUUGGUAUUUUGUAUGUUACUCUCUCGGGGGUGGCCUCUACAGUUUACCGGGCCAGCAUCAGUUUGAGCGGUAGGAUAAGUGCAAAGAAAUGUGGCACUGCUUCGGUAGUGUGUUAUAGUCUUUGUCGAUACUGCCAGCUUAGACUGAGGACUGCGGCUUCGGCCUAGGAUGUUGGCAUAAUGAUCUUAAGUCGCCCGUCUUGACAACGGAACCCC